CAGUCGCCGCGGUAACACGUAGGUGGCAAGCGUUGUCCGGAAUUAUUGGGCGUAAAGGGCUCGCAGGUGGUUUCUUAAGUCUGAUGUGAAAGCCCCCGGCUCAACCGGGGAGGGUCAUUGGAAACUGGGAAACUUGAGUGCAGAAGAGGAGAGUGGAAUUCCACGUGUAGCGGUGAAAUGCGUAGAGAUGUGGAGGAACACCAGUGGCGAAGGCGACUCUCUGGUCUGUAACUGACGCUGAGGAGCGAAAGCGUGGGGAGCGAACAGGAUUAGAUACCCCAGUAGUCCCUGUCUCUUAUAC
rnacentral:rRNA from 1 species